GAGGAAUUAAAACCACUGUGACUACUAUGCUUUCGACCACUGGGGCCAAGGAACAAUGGUGACAGUGACCAGUGCUUCCCAAAGUGCCCCUUCUCUUUUCCCCCUCAUUCCAUCGUCGAGCAUCACAGACAGUAACGAGAUCACCAUCGGGUGUAUGGCCAAGGAUUUCCUUCCUGACUCACUCACUCUGUCCUGGCAAAAGCCAAACAAUGACAGCCUUGAGGCAGACAAAAUCAAGCGGUUUCCUUCCAUUAACAACCCUACUGGGACUUUCACUGCAAGCUCAGCGGCAACUGUCCCUACUAGUCAAUGGGAUGCAUUCAAACCCUUCUACUGCAAGGCUGAACAUGCUUCUACAACCAAAGUGGCACGAGUUGUUCGCCAAACACCAAUCGUACCUAUUGAACCUACGAUUAUUAUCCGAGUGCCUCCUCUAGAAGAUUUUCUUGGUCCCUACCUAAACGCCAGCCUUCUCUGCAAGGCUGAUCACCUGUACACUGAGAAAACUACCAUUAGCUGGAUGAAGAACGGGCAAGUGGUUAUCUCCGGCAUCACCACCACUGCACCAAUCAGGCAAAACUCUGGUUUCUCCAUAAUCAGCGAGCUCACUGUCACCAAAAAGGACUGGUAUGCUGACACGGAAUUUUCCUGCCAAGUGCAAAAUGAGAAGUUCAAUGAGAUAAGGAACGUCAGCAAAGUCUCAGUUUGUGAAGGUGGUGGUGAAUGUAAUGUGCGAAUCCGCGUGGAGACCAUCCCACCAUCCUUCAAUGAUAUUUACCUGACCAAGUCAGCCACACUGACCUGCAGAAUCUCCAACAUACCCUUUGGUGAGGAUCUUGCACUGAAUGUCACCUGGACGAGAGCAUCCGACAAAAAAACAUUGGAGACCACAACUGGACAGGCUAAAGAGCAAGAAAACAGAGAGCUGGUAUUUGUGGAUGCUACAGCCACAAUCUGUGCAGAAGAAUGGGAGAAAGGGGAUACCUACACGUGCACAGUUAAACAUCGGUUACUUGCUACUACUGAAGUAAAGUCUUUGAAGAAGCAGAAUGGUGGUAGUCACAGUGCUCCAGCAGUCUAUGUCCUCCCCCCACCCUCAGAGCAACUGGCUUUGCAGGAAACAGCCACUCCCACUUGCCUGAUAAAAAGUUUUUACCCCGGCGACUUCUUUGUGAAAUGGCUGCAGGAUGGUGAGCCCGUGCCAGUUUCGGAAUACUUCACUAGUGGCCCCAUACAAGAAUCCAAGUCCCCCGAGCGGUACUUUGCCUACAGCAUACUGAAUAUCAACGAGCAGGACUGGAAUUCUGGAGCCCGUUUAACUUGCGUGGUGGGACACGAGGCACUUCCCCUCCAGAUGACUCAGAAGACCGUAGACAAGCACACGGAAAUUGAUUUCCAUUUAUCGUCCAAAGCUUACCUUGAUGGGAUUGUAUUCAUUGAUGACGAUGAAGGACUCCUAAACAUCUCGUCAAUCCUUUCCACGUUCAUCAUCCUCUUCCUUGUGAGCCUCUUCUACAGCGCCACCGUGACUGUCAUCAAGGUGAAAUAGCGAUGACAAUGUUUUGCGGACAGUGGAUUAGGUGGACUCCAUACUUUCCCUCUCUUUCAUCAUACUAAUCAGGAACUUACAUCUCUCUUUUCAUUUUUGUGAGAGGACUGACAUGGGGGCAGGGCUUGCAUUAUUCUCUUGGUUUCUAUCAUAAUCUUAAAGUUCAAUAUGUGUUAAACUAGAUUUGUGGCCCACUUGUUUACAUUUUAAAGCCAUCUAACCGACGUGGUGCAAUUUUGCCUUUGUUUUAUCUGUUUCUGUGGUGGUCAUAUUUUAUUCUAGCUUUUGUUGUAUAAAGCCAUGAAGAGUUCAGGUGCAAUAGAGUUCAGGACCGUUGCAGAAUCCAUACCGACUAGAAUGUUUGUCAUUUU